CCCUAGCCCCGAUUGGAACGACAUCCUUUUUAGUUGCGGUGGAGCGAAGCGGAGCCGUAACCAAAAAGAUAUAGCACUUCGGCAGGCUCA
rnacentral:sRNA from 1 species